GUCCACGCCGUAAACGAUGGGCACUAGGUGCUUAGGGGAGCGACCCUCUGAGUACCGGCGCUAACGCAUGAAGUGCCCCGCCUGGGGAGUACGGCCGCAAGGCUGAAACUCAAAGGAAUUGACGGGGGCCCGCACAAGCGGUGGAGCAUGUGGUUUAAUUCGACGCAACGCGCAGAACCUUACCUAGGCUUGACAUGCACGGGAAAGCUGGUGGAAACAUCGGCCCCUCUUCGGAGCCCGUGCACAGGUGCUGCAUGGCUGUCGU
rnacentral:rRNA from 1 species